UUUAUCACAAGCUGUAAUUGUAAGAAUUCAGUUGGUUAGGCAUAGGAGGGAAGUCCGUUUAUCAGCUCCUGUAGCUAAUGAUAUGCUGGAAGGGCUCCGAAUAUUUGUAGUUAACACAGAACAGCACGGUGAUAUCAGUGCAGACAUGGAAUGCGGGGAACAAGACAGCAUCAUUUUUUCUCUUCUCUGUGAGGAGAAUCUGGGACCAAAUGUUUGCUGAGGCUGUGCCAAAAAUGAAGGGAAGGGAAAACAAGAAUGUAUUCCUGGAGUGCAAGCUAAAAUCAACAUGGCAUAAGAAAGGCAAUGAAGCUGGAGCUUAACUAAUUACUGUGUCUCUGCUGGUGAAGCUGUGUUAGCUUGUCUAACCCAGUCCACUCCAUAGUGGAGUUCUCCCUCUGAAAAAUGUGAACUGACAGAAGCACUCCUUUCUACCAUUAGCCAAGAGAAGGUUAUUGAUGUAGCUGUAUGAAACUGGAGGAGGAACAAGAGAGAGAGGUGGAAUGCUAUGCCAUUUUGUGUAAUGAAAGUGAACAGAGAAUAUUUGUGGAUUAUUUUUGUGAAAAAAAUUAUGAGGUAAUAGAUAGCAUUUCUAUACAUGUUACUUUAUGCAACUGCUUUCACCUACAUUUAAUUGAUGUACUUUGCUAUGCAGCAUUUAAUCUCCCAUCCAAUUUUACCUCACAGAUGACCUUACAGGUCACAUGGUACCCAUCAGGUGGCUGUGUUCCCCUUUAGUUCUCCCACCUAAAGAGAUGGAACACCAUCUUUAGCUCUUUCCUUGCUCCAUCACAAAGCAAACUGAAGACACUGAGUAAUAUUUUUGGAAACAAGGAUCUUCCAAGCUUUCAGUCCAAAACAGUGACAUAUUUGCUCUGAGUUCAUAGCAUUUUUGAACAAGUUCAGAGCCAGGGACAAUUCUUUAUUAGCAGGGUUGAAGUGUUAGCCUAAGUAGGACACAAUGUUUUUGGCAGGAAAAGAUAGGAAAAAU
ensembl:lncRNA